rnacentral:rRNA from 1 species
CCUACGGGAGGCAGCAGUGAGGAAUAUUGGUCAAUGGACGCAAGUCUGAACCAGCCAUGCCGCGUGCAGGAAGACUGCUCUAUGAGUUGUAAACUGCUUUUGUACGAGAGUAAACGCAGAUACGCGUAUCUGUCUGAAAGUAUCGUACGAAUAAGGAUCGGCUAACUCCGUGCCAGCAGCCGCGGUAAUACGGAGGAUUCAAGCGUUAUCCGGAUUUAUUGGGUUUAAAGGGUGCGUAGGCGGUCGGAUAAGUUAGAGGUGAAAUCCCGAGGCUAAACUUCGGAAUUGCCUCUGAUACUGGUAGGCUAGAGAGUAGUUGCGGUAGGCGGAAUGUAUGGUGUAGCGGUGAAAUGCUUAGAGAUCAUACAGAACACCGAUUGCGAAGGCAGCUUACCAAGCUACUUCUGACGUUGAGGCACGAAAGCGUGGGGAGCAAACAGGAUUAGAUACCCCAGUAGUC